rnacentral:rRNA from 1 species
AGAUUGAACGCUGGCGGUAUGCUUAACACAUGCAAGUCGAACGGUGAAGUGAGGAGCUUGCUCCUUGCGGAUCAGUGGCGAACGGGUGAGUAACACGUGAGUAACCUGCCCUUGACUCUGGGAUAAGCGUUGGAAACGACGUCUAAUACCGGAUACGACCUCCGAAGGCAUCUUCUGGAGGUGGAAAGAAUUUCGGUCAAGGAUGGACUCGCGGCCUAUCAGCUAGUUGGUGAGGUAAUGGCCCACCAAGGCGACGACGGGUA